rnacentral:rRNA from 1 species
GGAUAACCGGGAGAAAUCCCGCCUAAUACAGCAUGACGCCGGGAAGGGACAUCCCUUUCCGGCCAAAGGGGGCGACUCCGGUCACGGAUGGGCAUGCGGCGCAUUAGGUAGUUGGUGGGGCAACGGCCCACCAAGCCGACGAUGCGUAGGGGUUCUGAGAGGAAGGUCCCCCACAUUGGAACUGAGACACGGUCCAAACUCCUACGGGAGGCAGCAGUGAGGAAUAUUGGUCAAUGGCCGGAAGGCUGAACCAGCCAAGUCGCGUGAGGGAAUAAGGCCCUACGGGUCGUAAACCUCUUUUGUCAGGGAGCAAGGCCGCCCACGUGUGGACGGAAGGAGAGUACCUGGAGAAAAAGCAUCGGCUAACUCCGUGCCAGCAGCCGCGGUAAUACGGAGGAUGCGAGCGUUAUCCGGAUUUAUUGGGUUUAAAGGGUGCGUAGGCGGCCUGCCAAGUCAGCGGUAAUAUUGCGGGGCUCAACCCCGUACAGCCGUUGAAACUGCCGGGCUCGAGUGGGCGAGAAGUAUGCGGAAUGCGUGGUGUAGCGGUGGAAUGCAUAGAUAUCACGCAGAACCCCGAUUGCGAAGGCAGCAUACCGGCGCCCUACUGACGCUGAGGCACGAAAGUGCGGGGAUCAAACAGGAUUAGAUACCCUGGUAGUCCGCACAGUAAACGAUGAAUGCUAGCUGUCCGGGGGGAUUGACCCCUGGGU